UAACACGUGGAUAACCUACCUAUAAGACUGGGAUAACUUCGGGAAACCGGAGCUAAUACCGGAUAAUAUAUUGAACCGCAUGGUUCAAUAGUGAAAGACAGUUUUGCUGUCACUUAUAGAUGGAUCCGCGCCGCAUUAGCUAGUUGGUAAGGUAACGGCUUACCAAGGCAACGAUGCGUAGCCGACCUGAGAGGGUGAUCGGGCCCACACUGGAACUGAGACACGGUCCAGACUCCUACGGGAGGCAGCAGCC
rnacentral:rRNA from 1 species